rnacentral:rRNA from 1 species
AGAAUCAACGCUGGCGGCGUGCCUAACACAUGCAAGUCGCACGAGAAAGGGGAGCAAUCCCUGAGUACAGUGGCGCACGGGUGAGUAACACGUGAAUGAUCUACCUCCGAGUGGGGAAUAACUGAGAGAAAUCUUAGCUAAUACCGCAUAAUACCCACGGGUCAAAGCAGCAAUGCGCUUGGAGAGGAGUUCGCGGCAGAUUAGUUAGUUGGCGGGGUAAUGGCCCACCAAGACGAUGAUCUGUA